AAUCCCUUAUCGAGGAUCCAUUGGAGGGCAAGUCUGGUGCCAGCAGCCGCGGUAAUUCCAGCUCCAAUAGCGUAUAUUAAAGUUGUUSCAGUUAAAACGCUCGUAGUCGGAUUUCGAAGCACGCUCACGGGGCCGGUUCUUGCUGUUCCUGUGGGGGUGUCUUCUUAUUCUGGGACGCGGUGUGCGGGACUUGAUUGUCUCUGCACAUCUGCGGGCCGGACGUUUACUGUGAAGAAAUUAGGGUGUUCAAAGCAGGCGUUUGCUAUGAAUACGUGAGCAUGGAAUAAUAGAAUAGGACUUGGGCUCUAUUUUGUUGGUUUCCGGAGAACAAGUAAUGAUUAAUAGGGACAGUUGGGGGCAUUCGUAUUUCAUUGUCAGAGGUGAAAUUCUUGGAUUGAUGGAAGACGAACAACUGCGAAAGCAUCUGCCAAGGAUGUUUUCAUUGAUCAAGAACGAAAGUUAGGGGAUCGAAGACGAUCAGAUACCGUCGUA
rnacentral:rRNA from 1 species